rnacentral:rRNA from 1 species
CACGUAGGCACCAAGCGUUAUCCGGAUUUAUUGGGCGUAAAGAGCUCGUAGGCGGUUCGGUAAGUCGGGUGUGAAAUCCCCAGGCUUAACCUGGGAACUGCAUUCGAGACUGCAUUGCUAGAGUAUGGGAGAGGGAAGUGGAAUUUCCGGUGUAGCGGUGAAAUGCGUAGAUAUCGGAAGGAACAUCAGUGGCGAAAGCGACUUCCUGGACCAAUACUGACGCUCAUGUGCGAAAGCGUGGGGAGCAAACAGG